rnacentral:rRNA from 1 species
UACGGGGGGGGCAAGCGUUGUUCGGAAUUACUGGGCGUAAAGGGCUCGUAGGCGGCCAACUAAGUCGGAUGUGAAAUCCCCAGGCUUAACCUGGGAACUGCAUCCGAUACUGGAUGGCUUGAAUCCGGGAGAGGGAUGCAGAAUUCCAGGUGUAGCGGUGAAAUGCGUAGAUAUCUGGAGGAACACCGGUGGCGAAGGCGGCAUCCUGGACCGACACUGACGCUGAGGCGCGAAAGCUAGGGUAGCAAACGGG